rnacentral:tRNA from 1 species
GGCUAAGUAGCUCAGUUGGCUAGAGCACGCGGUUCAUACCCGCGGUGUCAGGGGUUCGAAUCCCUUCUUAGCCACGA